GAUGAAGAACGUAGCGAAAUGCGAUAAGUAAUGUGAAUUGCAGAAUUCAGUGAAUCAUCGAAUCUUUGAACGCACAUUGCGCCCUUUGGUAUUCCGAAGGGCAUGCCUGUUCGAGCGUCAUUUCACCACUCAAGCCUGGCUUGGUAUUGGGCGCCGCGGUCGAUCCGCGCGCCUCAAAGUCUCCGGCUGAGCUGUCCGUCUCUAAGCGUUGUGAUUUCAUUAAUCGCUUCGGAGUGCGGGCGGCCGCGGCCGUUAAAUCUUUCACAAGGUUGACCUCGGAUCAGGUAGGGAUACCCGCUGAACUUAAGCAUAUCAAUAAGAGGA
rnacentral:misc_RNA from 1 species